GGGGCCGUAACGGUUUCGACAGGUUGGCGAAAGCUGACCCGUGAUACAGGUCGAGAGUGAGUCGCCUCUCGUAAAUACCAGACUCAAAAAAAAGUAACUGCGAACAACAUCGUAAGCUUCAAGCGCGUAGCAGUAGCUGCCUAAGAGUCACUAACAAAGACUGCGCUACUCUUAGUCUGACUCCGUUAAGGAUUAAGGGUAAACCCCAACGGAUGCUCUCUAUAGAUGCCUCUGGUCGCCUAUUGAGUUAAGACAUUACUAGAGCAUCCCGCCAUCAGGGAUAAUAGAUGGUUCCCGCCUUGAGGGUAAGAUAGGCUAAACCUGUGAAUGAGCGAAAAGUAAAUACCCAAUUUGGACAGCAGUUCGACUCUGCUCGGCUCCAUGA
rnacentral:tmRNA from 3 species